rnacentral:rRNA from 1 species
CACGUAGGGCGCAAGCGUUGUCCGGAAUUAUUGGGCGUAAAGAGCUCGUAGGCGGUCUGUUGCGUCUGCUGUGAAAACCCGGGGCUUAACCCCUGGCUUGCAGUGGAUACGGACAGACUAGAGGUAGGUAGAGGAGAAUGGAAUUCCCGGUGUAGCGGUGAAAUGCGCAGAUAUCGGGAGGAACACCGGUGGUGAAGGCGGUUCUCUGGACCGGUACUGACGCUGAGGCGCGAAAGCGUGGGGAGCAAACGGG